rnacentral:rRNA from 1 species
AUUGAACGCUGGCGGCAGGCCUAACACAUGCAAGUCGAGCGGUAGAGAGAAGCUUGCUUCUCUUGAGAGCGGCGGACGGGUGAGUAAUGCCUAGGGAUCUGCCUGGUAGUGGGGGAUAACGUUCGGAAACGGACGCUAAUACCGCAUACGUCCAACGGGAGAAAGCAGGGGACCUUCGGGCCUUGCGUUAUCAGAUGAGCCUAGGUCGGAUUAGCUAGUUGGUGAGGUAAUGGCUCACCAAGGCGACGAUCCGUAACUGGUCUGAGAGGAUGAUCAGUCACACUGGAACUGAGACACGGUCCAGACUCCUACGGGAGGCAGCAGUGGGGAAUAUUGGACAAUGGGCGAAAGCCUGAUCCAGCCAUGCCGCGUGUGUGAAGAAGGUCUUCGGAUUGUAAAGCACUUUAAGUUGGGAGGAAGGGUUGUAGAUUAAUACUCUGCAAUUUUGACGUUACCGACAGAAUAAGCACCGGCUAACUCUGUGCCAGCAGCCGCAGUAA